GACGAGAGGGACACUGCUCUAGCUGGAAACACCCAGAUUCAUCCUUCAGGGCCAGUCUGAUGGCAUCCUAGGCCACUGAGGCCAGCACUUGUGGUCAGCUCUUCCAGAACCUGCCCUGGGCUCCCAGUGGUCUGAGCCUCUCACUGCUCUUGGGCCAGUCAGCUCCCAGAAUUAUCUUCAGUCAGCCUCCUUCCCUGGGCCUGGUGAAGCAGGUCACCGUGCACUGUGACCAGUUGUCCAGGUCUGAGGGACGGAGCACUGCAUGUCACCAAGUCUUUGUGGCUUGCCCACAGGUAGCCACCACCAGCAGGAGCCCAAGGUUCACCAUGAAUGGGGCCCCAAGGCCCGGGGGGCUUCCUGGAGGCUCACCACUUGCCCCGCUGGCCCGCCUGGAGGUUAUCUUCGGGGCUUUACUCCCGGGGGCAGCAGGACGGCCAGGCUAAAGCGUGGCAGGCCAUCCUGUUUCUAGGGCACGAGAACAGGCCUGCCUGUGUCAGUCCCUUCUUGUCUCAGCAUGUGGCACUGCCGCUGCUGUUAGCUUCUCCUAAGAACUAUGAGGGAGACAGAGGGAGAAUGGAGCCCUCCAGAGACUGUCUGGAACCCCAGGGUGCAGUUGUCACCCAGCUGUGACCUCCUCGAGGGCAGGGUUCUGAUUCUUGCUGAAGCUGCCAGGGCCUGUGCUCAAGGACGCACUCCCCCUCCCCCAUUAUGUCCCCUCUGUGCUGUGGAUAAGAGUGUGUCUACACGGGCUGCCCAUCGUGGGCCCCUGUCACUGUUCGGCUUCAUCCCUUGACCCUGUUCCCCCUCCACAGGCCACCACUCUGGACUCCAUCACAGGAAGCCCAGCACGUGGGCUCUCCCCGCUACCCCCUCACGCCUUCUUCUCCCUCUUCCUGGAACCCAGCCACCCCAGAGCUCUUGGUCUGAGCUCCCCUGCCCUCUCCGGAUGCCGCCUCCUCCAGAAAGGUGACACCUCCUUGCGUGCUCACAAAUGCCACGUCACUGGUCGAGUCGUUCAAGUGCUACCUGCCCCCAUAGACCUGAACUCUGAGUACAGGAUCCAGGCCUUGAUUCUCUUUGUCCCCAACGUCUAACCCUCCCCCACCAGGUCCCUGCACCAGCUUUCAGUAGCCUCAUCAGGAGAGGAGCGGCUAGGAGGUCUCUGGCUCCUUGGCCUUUACAGACCCUGCCUGCCCAGCUAGGACAUGCCCCUGCCUCUCUGCAACACUGCCCCAAACCCCGGGAGAGCAGAUCCUCCCAGCUUGCCCAGACCAGGUGGGCUGAAUCAGGACCUCGCCUGCCUCCGCUGAGCCUCUCCAUCCUCCAAGCACACCAAGAAAAGCAGAGCCCAAGGAGGAGCCAGCAAGCUGGGCCUCACCACAGGAAAGAAGAGAGUGCAUCCGAGUGUGGGCGGAGGAGCCAAGCAGGACUUGAACUCACCAUCUGGCCCGCUGUCCACAGGCCCUUAAGCUGCUCUAGACACACCCAAGGGAGAAGGAACCGUGCAGCCCCACACUUCAGGGUGAUUGCUGUGUGUCCUCAGGAGGGACAAGGGCUCCUGAUGACUUUCCAACCAACCUGGAAAAUCUCAAAUGUAUUCAGACAAUGGGAGAAGAGUCAAGGACGCUCACGUGCCCAUCACCAGCUUCGCCAACCAUCAAUCUAUGCUUGCAGUUGUGACUAUCUACUAGAUACAUGGUGAUUAAUUCAAAACAUUGAAUUUUAUCCAAUAUUAAUGUUAAACAUCAAUGUCAAGUAUUCGCACUAAUUUUAACAUUAAUUAUUAAUAUUAACUCGGUUAUGUGUAUAUCAGGUGCCCGGCCCUGUACUAGGCCAUUAACAAAGACAAUAUCUGCAAGCUAUCUGGGCCCAGUCCAGAAGCAUCUAUUUCAGAGUCUCCGAGGAGGUCAUGCUCUGCCCUCUGCAUGGCAUGAUCCAGCGGUCCCCUGCCCCAGAGACAUCCAGUCACUCCCUGGACUACAUGAGUUCAGAAUAGGCCCUGGAGUUCUGGCCCCUGAAGCCUCCCAUCCCCUCGUGGGAGUCAACCCUGCCAGGAUGCAGUCGCUCCUGGUGCCAGCUCUUGCAGCCACCUGGCAUCAGGAAGUGGCAUAGAGUCUGUGAGCGGUGGUGCAGGGCCUGGCCCCCAGCCUACUUCCACCCAGUGCUCAGCCGUAGCCCCUCCUGUACCAGGGGAUCCGCCCGUGGCAGGCACAGUGGGCUUUGGAGUUUGGAGACUGGUGUCUAAACCAGCUCUGAGCUGUAAGAGUCCUGAGAACUGAGGUCAACCAACCACCUGGGUGAAGUGGGGAGGUGAGUGCAGCCAGCAGGAAGCCGCGUCGGGGAGUCCAGGGUCAGGGAUCCUGUCCUGCCUUCAGCUCAGGUUUACAGAACAUCCUACCUCACAGGUGUGGUGGGAGGGGAUGUGACCAGGACCUUACAGGCCUGGAGGGGUGUCAGUGGGGUCCCUAGGUGAGCCCUAGGAGGCUUCUGGGGGCAGGGAGUGAGCACCCUACUGCUCUGCCGUUGCUGGCUGUGACCUGCAGGGGUGGACCUCUCUUGCCCUCAGUGUUCAGUUCUACACAAUGAGCAGAACAGAGGACCUUGCAGACUAAAGCACUUUGCACCCACACAAGUUCAUGGAUGUCCAAGUUGGCUGUUCCUUGGCGUUUUGACUCUUGGAAAACCUGAGUCAGAGAUGAGGGAUCCCGUGUAUCGUCAGGUGCAUACUGGAACCUUUUGGUUUAUGGAACAGAAGUAACACCUGUGCCAGGGACCAGGCAGCUUUCAGAGGGAGGGAAUGGAGGGUCAGUACCAGCCUCCAAACCAACCAUCCACCCGCUGCACCUGGCCUCAGACCCAGAGAAGCCCUGGGAAGGCCUCGCUGUGCUACUCUCCAGCCCAGCAACCUUGUCCCGAGAGGCGGCCUCACCCCCGCUGCAGUCCAAGCAUCCCCACGUGAGAUGGCUUGCACUAGUGACCCUCACAAGGGAAACCUGCUCUUUCCCAUCAGCAUUUGCAAGGGCCAGAGACCCUUCCAAGGGCCGUGGGGCUCUGGGAUUUUCCACUGUGGACAGUGGCAGCUGCAGGAGGGAGAGAGGUUGAAAUCAGAGAUCAGGACUCAGAGCCAGUCAGCAGGGACACCCCACCUGACCCAUCCCUGGCGAUGUUAAGUGCCUGAGGCCCGGCUGGACCCUGACUCUGCAAGGACAGUGGGGCCAGGGUGAGCUGCUCGUGGUUUGCUGACUGUUUAGCGCACACUGGGCCCGAGGAGGGAUGUAUUGGGUUGUGUUCUCCUGACCAUGGAUUAAUUGGGUCCGCUAUAAACCUGCAAUCUAGUGGAGUCUGGAAUUGCCGUGUUCUGUCAGAGCUUAGUGAUGUAAUUCAUUCUUACAUCGUUACCCAAAAGGGCUGAAACUCAGACAGCCGCUGUCCUGGGCAACAAAUCAAAUCACUGAUAAGAAGCCGCUAGUUUGACUGAAAGCAGAUGAGUGACGGCCUGAGGGCUGGGGUGGGCUGAGAGAGUUUGGGGACACUUGGUGAUGGACAGCUGUUAUCGUGACCAUGAUGGUGUCAGGGUCUCACAUGUGUCCAUCUCAUCGGUGUCCACUUCAAAUGGGUGCAGCUCGGUGUCCGGAGUUGAAGAUGCCCCAUGCACUGUGUCCACAGAAACCUCUUCAUCACCCUGAAAAACACUGUCACCCCAAACAAACCUCAGGGCACUAGGGUCUUCACAGUGUCAUAUGUUAAAAACCUACAUCAGCUUAAAUGUAAGCGAAGGUGUAUGGAGCAAGACUACAGCCUGCCCACAGGAUUUCACACUUGAGCCCCUGUGGACUGGUGUGAUCUGGUCUGAUCUCACAGGUGACAAAUGGGGCUCUGGGAAGCUAGAGAAUGUGGUGGUGUCUGGUGGAACCUGCCUGCCUGUCUAAUGACAUUCCGUCUGUCCUUUCAGCACCCCAACCCAUGAUCCAGGGAGACACCUCCACGUACAGGAGCUCACAGAAGGACAGGUGGGACCCCGUCCUGAACACAUUGGACAGUUCCCUGUUUCCUCUUCGUCCUGUUCCAGGCUUUGGCACGGGGUCAUCACAGGGUGGCUGGGCUCCUGCCUUCUGCCUUCUUCACGUGGUCUGUAAACGUUUCCCCAUGUGGCUCGUGUGGGUCAUUUCGAGACCCUCCACGAAGUCCCUGGAGCUCGUUCCUGGUAACAGUGCACUCAAUCCUGCGGCUGCCCAAGGAGACCGUAGCCAGGAUUUUGCUGCUGUGAAUGACUACACAGAAGAGAACAUAGCCAAUGGUCAGGUCACCUGGGCUGCAGUCCCAGGGCUGCCACAGAACAGCUUUCUGACUUGAGGCAGGUCACUUGAUCUCUCUGUGCCUUCUGAAGACAUAGAGUAGAGAUAAUGAUGUCACCUCUCUUGAAGGCUGUCGGUACCUAAAACUGGGACUAACUUCUAUAGGGCCUGUCACCUCUAGACCAUCUGCGUCCUUGCCCUGGACAUCUUGAUACCUCCUUGCCCUGGACAUCUUGAUACCUCCUUGCCCUGGACAUCUUGAUACCUCCUUGCCCUGGACAUCUUGAUGGUUUUCUAGUUUGUAUGAAGAAGCUUCCUGUAGGUAAAGGUGUCUCCCCUUUGUUCUAGUCUGGCCUGUUUUGUUCUAACAAGGGCCAAGGGCUCAAAGUCCACCCCGUCCCAGGACGGGGAGCCCCCAGCCUUGCUGCCCUCCCCAGUAAAGCAGAGACACCAGAACUCCUUGAGGGGUGCCCCACAGGUGGGACAGGUGGCACCUAAGUGCCUAGUACCUCACCUGAUGCUUAAUGCAUGCCUAACACUUUGUAGUUACACGUG
rnacentral:lncRNA from 1 species